CCAGAUCUUCUAACCCACCAUCUCUGAAAUUCAACCUCGCAAACACAACAUUACCUGUUUCAGAAGCAAAAAUGCUUAAUGAAACCACCUCACCAUCAUCAUCACCAUCUCCUCAAUCCCCACCCUACUACGAACUCUCCUCUGAUACUGAACUAGAAACUACCCUUCCUACCCUUGAAGAAGCAAUCAAGGUUUUUACAG
rnacentral:lncRNA from 1 species